UUUGAUUUUCUUUCGAGUGUGUGCUUAUAACUGUUUACACUAAUUAAUUAGACUUUCAAGCAUUUUUCUAAUUCAACGAGUUUAUUCCAAAGUCCAAACCAAGUGGAAAUCAACCUACUUUCCACUGUCCUGGUUUUAUUAUACUCCUUAGAUUGUUCAAACGAGUUCACCAAACAAUAUAAUCAAAUCCUUUUUCAAAAUAACAAGUUAAAUAACCAUUUUCAAACAUAAUAUCGCUUUGAUCCUUAACAAAUUAAAACAUGUUCUAUUUUUUUUUUGUUGUCUACACUUCUACCACUAGAGAAACACAUGAUGAACUGAAAGGAGAAAAUAAAGCAAAUAGUUGCAUUAUAGUUAUCUUUUU
rnacentral:lncRNA from 1 species